rnacentral:rRNA from 1 species
AGGACGAACGCUGGCGGCGUGCUUAACACAUGCAAGUCGAGCGGAAAGGCCACUUCGGUGGUACUCGAGCGGCGAACGGGUGAGUAGCACGUGAGUAAUCUGCCCCUGGCUUUGGGAUAGCCACCGGAAACGGUGAUUAAUACCGGAUAUGACUGCUCCUCGCAUGAGGUGGUGGUGGAAAGUUUUUCGGCCAGGAUGUGCUCGCGGCCUAUCAGCUUGAU